UUCACCGGUGAAUAUAAUGACGGUACCCGGAGAAGAAGCCCCGGAUAACUUCGUCCCAGCAGCCGCGGUAAUACGAAGGGGGAGAGCGUUGUUAGGAAUUACUGGGAAUAAAGCGCACGUAGGCGGACUUAUAAGUCAGGGGAGAAAUCCCGGGGCUACAACCCAGGAACGGCCUUUGAUACUGGAAGUAGAGAGUAUGGAAGAGGUGAGAGGAAUUCCGAGAGUAGAGGAGAAAUUAGUAGAUAUUGGGAAGGAACACCAGUGGAGAGGGCGGCUCAGUGGACCAUUAAUGACGAUGAGGUGAGAAAGCGGGGGGAGCAAACAGGAUGAGAUACCGUGGUAGUACA
rnacentral:rRNA from 1 species